ensembl:ncRNA C56A3.12 ncRNA
CUAGGAUUCGAAGUUGAAAAGCUUCUUACCACAACCACCUCCUCCGCUUUGAACGUAGACUGGUUGAACUUGUGGACAAUAUGCUGCUGGUGGAGCUGGACAUGGUUGUGGUGGGGGACACACUGGACAUGAUGGUGCUUGUGGACACUGUAAAUAUAUUUAAUAACUGUGGGAU